rnacentral:tRNA from 1 species
CGGGGCGUAGCGCAGCCUGGUAGCGCGCCUGGUUCGGGACUAGGAGGCCGGAGGUUCAAAUCCUCUCGCCCCGACCA